rnacentral:rRNA from 1 species
CACCAGACUCCUACGGGAGGCAGCAGUGAGGAAUAUUGGUCAAUGGGCGCGAGCCUGAACCAGCCAAGCCGCGUGAGGGAUGAAGGUACAGAGUAUCGUAAACCUCUUUUGUCAGGGAACAAAGGCGGGGACGUGUCCCCGGAUGAGUGUACCUGAAGAAAAAGCAUCGGCUAACUCCGUGCCAGCAGCCGCGGUAAUACGGAGGAUGCGAGCGUUAUCCGGAUUUAUUGGGUUUAAAGGGUGCGUAGGCGGGCUGUUAAGUCAGCGGUCAAAUGUCGGGGCUCAACCCCGGCCUGCCGUUGAAACUGGCAGUCUCGAGUUGGAGAGAAGUAUGCGGAAUGCGCGGUGUAGCGGUGAAAUGCAUAGAUAUCGCGCAGAACUCCGAUUGCGAAGGCAGCAUGCCGGCUCCACACUGACGCUGAGGCACGAAAGCGUGGGUAUCGAACAGGAUUAGAUACCCUAGUA